AGAGUUUGAUCAUGGCUCAGGACGAACGCUGGCGGCGUGCUUAACACAUGCAAGUCGCGCGAUUCUCGAAGUUCGGGGUUGGGAGUUCGAACCUCGAACUUCGAACCUCGAACUUCGAGAAUAGCGGCGGACGGGUGAGUAACACGUGGAUAACCUACCCAUUAGACCGGGAUAACACCGGGAAACUGGUGCUAAUACCGGAUAAGCUCUUUAGAGUAAAAGCCUUAAAGAGGAAAGGGGAAACUCACUAAUGGAUGGGUCCGCGUCCUAUUAGCUAGUUGGUAGGGUAACGGCCUACCAAGGCGACGAUGGGUAGCCGGCCUGAGAGGGUGACCGGCCACACUGGGACUGAGACACGGCCCAGACUCCUACGGGAGGCAGCAGUGGGGAAUAUUCCGCAAUGGGGGAAACCCUGACGGAGCAAUGCCGCGUGAGUGAAGAAGGCCUUUGGGUCGUAAAACUCUGUCUUGAGGGACGAAAAAAAUGACGGUACCUCAAAAGAAAGCCCCGGCUAACUACGUGCCAGCAGCCGCGGUAAAACGUAGGGGGCGAGCGUUGUCCGGAAUUACUGGGCGUAAAGGGCGUGUAGGCGGCCUGUGUAGUCAAGUGGUGGAAACCCGGGGCUUAACUUCGGGAUGGCCCUUGAAACCAACAGGCUUGAGGACAGGAGAGGGGAGUGGAAUUUCCGGUGUAGCGGUGAAAUGCGUAGAUACCGGAAGGAACACCAGUGGCGAAAGCGGCUCCCUGGACUGGUCCUGACGCUGAGGCGCGAAAGCGUGGGGAGCAAACA
rnacentral:rRNA from 1 species